UACGGAGGGUGCAAGCGUUAAUCGGAAUUACUGGGCGUAAAGCGUGCGCAGGCGGUUCGCUAAGACAGAUGUGAAAUCCCCGGGCUUAACCUGGGAACUGCGUUUGUGACUGGCGGGCUAGAGUAUGGCAGAGGGGGGUAGAAUUCCACGUGUAGCAGUGAGAUGCGUAGAGAUGUGGAGGAAUACCGAUGGCGAAGGCAGGUCUCUGGGCUGACACUGACGCUCAUGCACGAAAGCGUGGGGAGCAAACAGG
rnacentral:rRNA from 1 species